rnacentral:rRNA from 1 species
UACGGAGGGGGCGAGCGUUAUUCGGAAUUAUUGGGCGUAAAGGGCGCGUAGGCGGCCUGAUAAGUCAAAGGUGAAAUCCCUCGGCUCAACUGAGGAAUUGCCUUUGAAACUGUCAGGCUUGAGGCCGGGAGGGGGUAGCGGAAUUCCCAGUGUAGCGGUGAAAUGCGUAGAUAUUGGGAGGAACACCUGUGGCGAAAGCGGCGCACUGGACCACAUCUGACGCUGAGGCGCGAAAGCUAGGGGAGCAAACAGG